ACGGGAGGCAGCAGUGAGGAAUAUUGGUCAAUGGGCGGAAGCCUGAACCAGCCAAGUAGCGUGAAGGAUGACGGCCCUACGGGUUGUAAACUUCUUUUGCCGGGGGAUAAAAAACGGGACGCGUCCCGUCUUGCAGGUACCCGUGCGAAUAAGGACCGGCUAAUUCCGUGCCAGCAGCCGCGGUAAUACGGAAGAUGCGAGCGUUAUCCGGAUUUAUUGGGUUUAAAGGGAGCGUAGGCGGACUGUUAGGUCUGUGGUCAAAUGUCAGGGCCCAACCUUGGCAUGCCAUGGAAACCGGCGGUCUUGAAUACACGCAAGGCAGAUGGAAUUCGUCGUGUAGCGGUGAAAUGCUUAGAUAUGACGAAGAACUCCGAUUGCGAAGGCAGUCUGCUGGAGUGCGAUUGACGCUGAGGCUCGAAAGCGCGGGUAUCAAACAGGAUUAGAUACCCUGGUA
rnacentral:rRNA from 1 species